rnacentral:rRNA from 2 species
AUACAUGCAAGUCGAGCGAAUCGACGGGAGCUUGCUCCCUGAGAUUAGCGGCGGACGGGUGAGUAACACGUGGGCAACCUGCCUAUAAGACUGGGAUAACUUCGGGAAACCGGAGCUAAUACCGGAUACGUUCUUUUCUCGCAUGAGAGAAGAUGGAAAGACGGUUUACGCUGUCACUUAUAGAUGGGCCCGCGGCGCAUUAGCUAGUUGGUGAGGUAAUGGCUCACCAAGGCGACGAUGCGUAGCCGACCUGAGAGGGUGAUCGGCCACACUGGGACUGAGACACGGCCCAGACUCCUACGGGAGGCAGCAGUAGGGAAUCUUCCGCAAUGGACGAAAGUCUGACGGAGCAACGCCGCGUGAACGAAGAAGGCCUUCGGGUCGUAAAGUUCUGUUGUUAGGGAAGAACAAGUACCAGAGUAACUGCUGGUACCUUGACGGUACCUAACCAGAAAGCCACGGCUAACUACGUGCCAGCAGCCGCGGUAAUACGUAGGUGGCAAGCGUUGUCCGGAAUUAUUGGGCGUAAAGCGCGCGCAGGUGGUUCCUUAAGUCUGAUGUGAAAGCCCACGGCUCAACCGUGGAGGGUCAUUGGAAACUGGGGAACUUGAGUGCAGAAGAGGAAAGUGGAAUUCCAAGUGUAGCGGUGAAAUGCGUAGAGAUUUGGAGGAACACCAGUGGCGAAGGCGACUUUCUGGUCUGUAACUGACACUGAGGCG